rnacentral:rRNA from 1 species
AUACGGAGGAUCCGAGCGUUAUCCGGAUUUAUUGGGUUUAAAGGGUGCGCAGGCGGCCAUUUAAGUCAGCGGUUAAAUCGUGGGGCUCAACCCCAUUCUGCCGUUGAUACUGGGUGGCUUGAUUGCGGUCGAGGUUGGCGGAAUUCGUUGUGUAGCGGUGAAAUGCAUAGAGAUGACGAAGAACACCGAUUGCGUAGGCAGCUGACCAGACCGCAAAUGACGCUCAUGCACGAAAGUGCGGGGAUCGAACAGUAUUAGAUGCCCUGGUAGUCCGCACAGUAAACGAUUAAUACUUGUUUUCGGCGAUAUAAUGUCGGAUGCAAAGCGAAAGCGAUAAGUAUUCCACCUGGGGAGUACGCCGGCAACGGUGAAACUCAAAUGAAUUGGCGGGG